rnacentral:rRNA from 1 species
CCUACGGGAGGCAGCAGUAAGGAAUAUUGGUCAAUGGAGGCAACUCUGAACCAGCCAUGCCGCGUGCAGGAAGACUGCCCUAUGGGUUGUAAACUGCUUUUAUCCGGGAAUAAACCUACUUACGUGUAAGUAGCUGAAUGUACCGGAAGAAUAAGGAUCGGCUAACUCCGUGCCAGCAGCCGCGGUAAUACGGAGGAUCCAAGCGUUAUCCGGAUUUAUUGGGUUUAAAGGGUGCGUAGGCGGCCUGUUAAGUCAGGGGUGAAAGACGGUAGCUCAACUAUCGCAGUGCCCUUGAUACUGAUGGGCUUGAAUGGACUAGAGGUAGGCGGAAUGAGACAAGUAGCGGUGAAAUGCAUAGAUAUGUCUCAGAACACCGAUUGCGAAGGCAGCUUACUAUGGUCUUAUUGACGCUGAGGCACGAAAGCGUGGGGAUCAAACAGGAUUAGAUACCCUGGUAGUCCACGCCCUAAACGAUGAACACUCGCUGUUGGCGAUACACAGUCAGCGGCUAAGCGAAAGCGUUAAGUGUUCCACCUGGGGAGUACGCCCGCAAGGGUGAAACUCAAGGAAUUGACGG